UACGUAGGGUGCGAGCGUUAAUCGGAAUUACUGGGCGUAAAGCGUGCGCAGGCGGUUGGCCGUGUCCGAUGUGAAAGCCCCGGGCUUAACCUGGGAAUGGCAUUGGAAACUGGCUGGCUGGAGUGUGGCAGAGGGGGGUGGAAUUCCACGUGUAGCAGUGAAAUGCGUAGAUAUGCGGAGGAACACCGAUGGCGAAGGCAAUCCCCUGGGCCUGCACUGACGCUCAUGCACGAAAGCGUGGGGAGCAAACAGG
rnacentral:rRNA from 1 species